rnacentral:tRNA from 1 species
AAAAAUUUAGUUAAUAUAAUAACAUUAACUUGUCAAGUUAAAAUAACUUUUUAAGUAAUUUUUA